rnacentral:rRNA from 1 species
UAUCCUACGGGGGGCAGCAGUCGAGAAUCAUUCACAAUGGGGGAAACCCUGAUGGUGCGACGCCGCGUGGGGGAAUGAAGGUCUUCGGAUUGUAAACCUCUUUAGGCGGGGAGCAAUGCCGGGCACGCGUGCCCGGAGGGAGAGUACCCGCAGAAUAAGCAUCGGCUAACUCCGUGCCAGCAGCCGCGGUAAUACGGAGGAUGCGAGCGUUAUCCGGAUUUAUUGGGUUUAAAGGGUGCGUAGGCGGAUUUUUAAGUCAGCGGUAAAAUGUCCGGGCUCAACCCGGGCCGGCCGUUGAAACUGGG